rnacentral:rRNA from 1 species
CAGUCGCCGCGGUAAUACGUAGGGUGCGAGCGUUAAUCGGAAUUACUGGGCGUAAAGCGUGCGCAGGCGGCUUUGCAAGACAGAUGUGAAAUCCCCGGGCUCAACCUGGGAACUGCAUUUGUGGCUGCAAGGCUAGAGUGCGGCAGAGGGAGAUGGAAUUCCGCGUAUAGCAGUGAAAUGCGUAGAUAUGCGGAAGAACACCGAUGGCGAAGGCAAUCUCCUGGGCCUGCACUGACGCUCAUGCACGAAAGCGUGGGGAGCAAACAGGAUUAGAGACCCGUGUAGUCCCUGUCUCUUAUAC